rnacentral:rRNA from 1 species
UACAGAGGGUGCAAACGUUGCUCGGAAUCAUUGGGCGUAAAGCGCACGUAGGCGGCCUAGCAAGUAAGGAGUGAAAGCCCUCGGCUUAACCGAGGAAGUGCUUUUUAAACUACUAGGCUUGAAUACUGGAGAGGGUCGCGGAAUUCCCGGUGUAGAGGUGAAAUUCGUAGAUAUCGGGAGGAACACCAGUGGCGAAGGCGAGUCUCUGGGAUGUUGCUGACGCUGAGGCGCGAAAGCCAGGGGAGCAAACGGG